CCUACGGGAGGCAGCAGUGAGGAAUAUUGGUCAAUGGACGAGAGUCUGAACCAGCCAAGUAGCGUGAAGGAUGACUGCCCUAUGGGUUGUAAACUUCUUUUAUAUGGGAAUAAAAUGUUCCACGUGUGGGAUUUUGUAUGUACCAUAUGAAUAAGGAUCGGCUAACUCCGUGCCAGCAGCCGCGGUAAUACGGAGGAUCCGAGCGUUAUCCGGAUUUAUUGGGUUUAAAGGGAGCGUAGGUGGUUUGUUAAGUCAGUUGUGAAAGUUUGCGGCUCAACCGUAAAAUUGCAGUUGAAACUGGCAGUCUUGAGUACAGUAGAGGUGGGCGGAAUGCGUGGUGUAGCGGUGAAAUGCUUAGAUAUCACGCAGAACUCCGAUUGCGAAGGCAGUUCACUGGACUGCCACUGACACUGAGGCUCGAAAGUGUGGGUAUCAAACAGGAUUAGAUACCCUUGUAGUC
rnacentral:rRNA from 1 species